CGGACGUCGGGGGGUUAUUGUGGCAUGCACUGGCGUCUGUGCUACACAGUGCCGCACAAGUGCAUUGGUCAUCUCUCGCCAGCACUGACCGCUUGACCAGCAGCAGAAGGGCGGAUUCGAGAGCCAGUGAGAGAGUGGAUGAUUGGGCGGCGCCAUUGGUACGUUUGACUUCUUUUCUGUCCGUCUUUUGUUUUUGUUAUUAUAGUGUUGCAAUUUUACAGGCAUUAAGCCGUCGUUAUCUCGUCGAUGUGCAUCUUUUUACUCAAACUAAGACUUCGCAAAAGACCCCUACCCGUCUUGCCAACAAAAGUGCCCCUGAAACAAAACAAAAAAGAAAAAAAAAGAAGAAAAACACUCCCCUCCCCCACAACAAAAUACAGCAGUUAACAAUCCCAUAAACAACAGGACGCAUUAGCUAAAGCGUAUCUCGAACUUUGACUCAGCCCGUGAAAAUUUACAUAGAAAUCGAGAACCAGUUCUUAGUCAGUCAAUCUUGUUCAGGGCAAACUUGACCUUGUGUGGGUGUCACGUGACGAAA